UACAGAGGGUGCAAGCGUUAAUCGGAAUUACUGGGCGUAAAGCGCGCGUAGGUGGUUUGUUAAGUUGGAUGUGAAAUCCCCGGGCUCAACCUGGGAACUGCAUCCAAAACUGGCAAGCUAGAGUAUGGUAGAGGGUGGUGGAAUUUCCUGUGUAGCGGUGAAAUGCGUAGAUAUAGGAAGGAACACCAGUGGCGAAGGCGACCACCUGGACUGAUACUGACACUGAGGUGCGAAAAGCGUGGGGAGCAAAACAGG
rnacentral:rRNA from 1 species